AGUCGUAACAAGGUUUCCGUAGGUGAACCUGCGGAAGGAUCAUUAACGCGCAGGCCGGAGGCUGGCCCCCCACGAUAGGAAUCAACGUUCCAUCAGGGGUGUGCAGAUGUGCGCCGGUCUUACGCCCCAUUCUUGUCUACCUUACUCGGUUGCCUCGGCGGGCCGCGCUCUCCUGGGAGAGUCGUCCGGCGAGCCUCUUUGGGGGCUUUAGCUGGAUCGCGCCCGCCGGAGGACAGACAUCAAAAAAUCUUGGAAAGCUGUCAGUCUGAGCGUUAGCAAGUAAAAUUAGUUAAAACUUUCAACAACGGAUCUCUUGGUUCCGGCAUCGAUGAAGAACGCAGCGAAAUGCGAUAAGUAAUGUGAAUUGCAGAAUUCCGUGAAUCAUCGAAUCUUUGAACGCACAUUGCGCCCUCUGGUAUUCCGGGGGGCAUGCCUGUUCGAGCGUCAUUUCAACCCCUCAAGCCCGGCUUGUGUGAUGGACGACCGUCCGACCUCCUCUUUCGGGGGCGGGACGCGCCCGAAAAGCAGUGGCCAGGCCGCGAUCCCGGCUUCCUGGGCGAAUGGGCAGUCAAACCAGCGCCCUCAGGACCGGCCGCUCUGGCCUUCCCCCAAAUCUCUCUGAGAUAUUUUUUCAGGUUGACCUCGGAUCAGGUAGGGAUACCCGCUGAACUUAAGCAUAUCAAUAA
rnacentral:misc_RNA from 1 species